UACGUAGGGUGCGAGCGUUGUCCGGAAUUAUUGGGCGUAAAGAGCUCGUAGGCGGUUUGUUGCGUCGGCUGUGAAAUCCCGAGGCUCAACCUCGGGUCUGCAGUCGAUACGAGCAAACUAGAGUGUUGCAGGGGAGACUGGAAUUCCUGGUGUAGCGGUGAAAUGCGUAGAUAUCUGGAGGAACACCGGUGGCGAAGGCGGCAUCCUGGACCGGCAUUGACGCUGAGGCGCGAAAGCCAGGGGAGCAAAGCGGG
rnacentral:rRNA from 1 species